UCACUAUAUCGUGCACCUGAAACUGAUAUGACACUGUAUUUUAACUGGAAUUGACCUGAAAAACUUAAAAAAAGUUUGCUGGUUUCCAUGUUAAUCAUAUCUAAAACAUUUCUUCACAGACAACCUCCAGACCAGUAUUAGGCUGAGUACCAUGAUCUAACCAAGUUGACACAUAAAAUUAGCCAUGACACAUGGUCACAGAUACAAGCAGAUUUGGCUGCUCUGUGCCUCUGUCCCUAAUGGAUUUAAUGGAUGUGAACUUCAGUGGAUUCACCAGCCCUGGAGAACUUGCCAGCUUUCCUGAUCGAGGAAAGGAAUCCAAUGCUCAGCAGGAGGGUUUCUUUUGCGAGUGUGCAGCUCCAUCCCACUUCUCCUGAUCUGAUGUGGUGACAGCUCAUUUCAUAGACAGCACAGCUGGAGAAAUUCCAGGCGCUCAAGAAAAGAUGCCGGUUCCUCUGGGGCAAUGCAGCCCUCCCCACAGCACACAACCUCUCAGCUCAAGUGCAUGGUCCCAUUCAACCCCUCUCCAAGCCGGUCUGAGUUGUGCAGAGUACAGACUGCAUGAUGAUACACAGUGGCCCCAGAGAAAUGUGAAGGUAAGUCUCCUUGAGGAGUUUACAUUCUAAUUGAUGAUAUAAAACAUGUGUCGUUUAAGAUAGAAAGUAUCAAAUGCUAAAUCAUGUGAUAAC